AUCGAUGAAGAACGCAGCAAAAUGCGAUAAGUAGUGUGAAUUGCAGAAUUCAGUGAAUCAUCGAAUCUUUGAACGCACAUUGCGCCCUUUGGUAUUCCUUAGGGCAUGCCUGUUCGAGCGUCAUUUUCACCUUCAAGCACAGCUUGGUGUUGGGCGUCUGUCCUCGCGGACUCGCCUCGAAACUAUUGGCAGCCACUCCAGCGGCUUUGAGCGCAGCAGAAUUGCGUCUCUUGCGGCGAGGGGGGGCAUCCAUAAGCAUACUUUUUAUUUUGACCUCGGAUCAGGUAGGGAUACCCGCUGAACUUAAGCAUAUCAAUAAGCGGAGGAAAAGAAACCAACAGGGAUUGCCCUAGUAACGGCGAGUGAAGCGGCAACAGCUCAAAUUUGAAAUCCGGCUCCUUUGGGGGUCCGAGUUGUAAUUUGUAGAGGGUGCUUUGGCGUUGGCUGUGGUCUAAGUUCCUUGGAACAGGACGUCGCAGAGGGUGAGAAUCCCGUAUGUGGCCGCCAGUCUUCGCCGUGUAAAGCCCCUUCGACGAGUCGAGUUGUUUGGGAAUGCAGCUCUAAAUGGGAGGUAAAUUUCUUCUAAAGCUAAAUAUUGGCCAGAGACCGAUAGCGCACAAGUAGAGUGAUCGAAAGAUGAAAAGCACUUUGGAAAGAGAGUCAAAAAGCACGUGAAAUUGUUGAAAGGGAAGCGCUUGCAGCCAGACUUGCUUGUAGUUGCUUAGCCAGGCUUUUGCCUGGUGUACUCUUCUGCAUGCAGGCCAGCAUCAGUCCGGGCGGUUGGAUAAAGGCCUGCUAAACGUACCUCCCCUCGGGGAGGACUUAUAGGGUAGGUGUCAUGUAACCAGCCUGGAUUGAGGUCCGCGCAUCUGCUAGGAUGCUGGCGUAAUGGCUGUAAGCAGCCCGUCUUGAAACACGG
rnacentral:rRNA from 1 species